GAUCGGCACAGCUCCAACUGAUGCAGCUGCUUGGGGAAUGAAUCAUUGGACAGAAGAUCUUUCUCACUGUCUCUCCUCCUCUCUGUAUAUCUGACUUUGUAAUAAAAAUAAAAUAA